AGUCAACAACUCCAGGCAGAGUUAGCUAGAAGUUGUGAACUGGGAAAAGGGGUGUUAAAGCAUCAUCAAUCCUAGCCAGCAACAGACUCCCUGAGCUCUGGGGGCCACAUUUGCAUAGGAAACCAAAUGAACCCCCAUGGCUAAAGAGGAGGGCCACAAAUUCUUCAACACUCCCCAUGGAAAGGAGGGAACUAUGUCCUCUACCCUUGAGUCUGAGGGGAAGGUCAGGACCACCUUCAGCAACAGAAGAUGAUGCUGAGGUUACAGGCCAUUUUCCUUCUACUGUGCAGUGCUGCCCACUAUCCUUCUGACAGAGGCUAGGAUGCCACCAUGUUGAUGAGAACCAACAGUGGGCUGGCAGCCAUGGAUCAAAGACAGCAGAGCAAUAACCCAGAAGGAACUGGGCUCCUUGUCCCUCUGGGACUGCAUGUCAGCCAAGACAGCUUGGGCUCGGACUCCUGUGUGAGUGAGAAAUAAAAUUCUGUCUUGUUGCCACCACUGAGCCUU